GUGGGAGUGAAGCUGGACGCCUUGAGGAUUCCACUCCUGAAGCAGAGCUUAUCAAAUAUCACCUCCUCUGGGAAGCCGCCUCAGGUUGACACAUCUCUAUUCCAUAUCAAGGUGAGCACCUUGCAGAUGAGGACAGAGGCUUAUUCCUCUCAGCGGAGAGCUGGACUAAGCAUGCACAGGAGAUCUUGGUUGAUUGGUUGAAUGAAUGAAUGGUUGGAUGAACGGGCCCUUGCAAGGAAGCCAGAGCCAUGAAGUCAUUGCAGCCAUUCCUGCUUCUUUCACACAAAGUCCACCCACUCGGCCUCACCACAGCCUUGUUGGUGAGCAGCCACCUGCCCAGCUAGCAGGAGCACCAGCUAGCAGGAUCGGGUACCAGGCUGGGCUGGGGUGGAGAGUGUUGAUGUGGUACUUUAAACAUCACAACCAUCAGUUGAAAAUGUAGCUAGUGACUAAUCAA